rnacentral:lncRNA from 1 species
UAAUAGUACCCAGUUGACGAUGGAAUGAACGUCCUUAGUCGAGGUGGCACUCUCUACAGUAACCCCAAUAUUAGACUGUUAGACUGCCCUAAAUAUUUCUGUGUAUGAAUACUUAUUGAUUACCUAUGUUUGUAAUACUUUCGUAUAUGUAUGUCAAGAUUAUUAUUUCAAUAAUAAUAUACAGAAAUGCAAUCUUGCACUAAUACCUACAUGUGUAAGUUUUGUUUACAAGACUACUUAAACAUUCGGCAUGCUUGAUUGUUUACUAAUAUAUUUAAAUAUAUUACAGUGGAAUAAUUUUAAGAUAUUUGAAAUUAUCUGAAAUAUUGUUAAAAUCUAGGACAAGGUGGUGCGUUAAUUUCUUGGAGUAGUGUAUAUAUCGACCCUCUCAACAAAAACUGUUGAGUUUUAAAAACUCAAAAUCGUUCAUUUCAUGGUAAUUGUAUUUAAACAUAAUUGAGAAUGUCUCAUUUUGUCAGCUACUAUACUGUGUAUGAAUAUAGAUUUCAUUUUCAAGAUUUUGAAUUUUUAAUGAUCUACUACAGUCUUUGUCUACAAAAUUUUUAUUUAUAAACAUACAAUACAAAGAGAAAUAAAAAUAUGUAACACCUUUUUUAUUUUUGUCAUUUUUUUACAAUGGAUGAUACUAUGUACUUCCACUCUUAACUUUCCCAUGCAUGAAAUUAUUCACGAAUUAUUUGUUAUACUAGGUCUCUUUUUUACUCACAGAAACUAGUGAAAUCAGUGAAAUCACAAUAAGUUAAACAAGGAUAAACAACAUGGCAUGUCGCUGAUAUCUUGUUUACUAUUAAUGUUGACGUUUAUGAUUUUAAGUGACAGUGAUAGCGGAUUUUUCAAACAUAUUAGAACGACUAACUACUAUCCUCUCUUAAUUUGAUUACUUUCGGUAAGUACCUAUUUAUUCUUUAAGGAAAAGUGACAAGUAAUAUUUAUGAGUGUGCAUGGGCGCCCGGGGGCCGUGCCCCCUGGCUUUUCGAGUGCUGUAAACUAUAUAUGGUUAUCCAAAGUAUACAAAAUAUAAUGUGCAACAUCUUCACGUCUGCCCCCCCCCCCCUGAAAAUUUUUAUAUGGGCGCCCGUGUGAGUGUGGCUAUAGUUCUGUCGAAUGGAAACUUAUUUGUUUAUUUUCGAGGUUACCUUUGUAUACCUUGUGUAUUACCUUGUUUACCUUUUGGUUUUUUUACCUAAAUUUAUUUAUUACCAUUCUAUACUUAUCUCUAUACCAGUAGCACUCGGUAUAGUGUUUAAGAUGUUUAAUGUUGAGUCGAUCAAUCACCUUAAUAGUGGCAAAAAGAAUAAAAAGUUCAAUAAAAUAACUUUAUAAAAUACCUCCACCGGGAAAAUAGCCAUUUCCCAAUUAUUACUACUGGCACUCUGACAAUUCGUACAGAUAGUAUUAUAAUACACAUCAACGUACCUUUCAAUUAAUUUUUUGAUUUAACUUAUUUAAAAAUGAAUCGUGACGCAUGGGAAAAGUUAGAGUGGAAGACGGAAGAACAAUUAUAAUAAUGAUUAAUGACUAAUUGCUUAGUACAAAACAUGACUAUUCGGGAACAUUUUCUUGAGUUGUUGUUUAAAACAAUGCUCAUGUAAUUUUUUUUUUCGGUCAUUGUCAGUUUAGUUUUUAGUUUGGCAUAUUCUUCCUUGUAUAAUGUAAAGGUAUAAGUGUAAACAAUUUUAGGCACUCCUGUACUUUUGUUAUCUUUUACACUUCCUGCACUUUGUUUUGUAUCUCUCCUCCUCCUAAGUGCCUUCUCUAAUGAGGUUGGCGAUCGAUAUGGCAAAUUUCUUUCUGUUCUGGACUUGAUGAAUUAAGUCAUUCUUCAAAAACGUACGUCACUGAGAUAUUUUACAUUAAAAUAAUUUUUGAAUUUCUCGUUAAAUUUGUGACAAAAGAUCUAUCUUUCCUUUCUUUUCAUGAGACGCCGUUUUAUGCUAAAAAAAAAA